UACGGAGGGUGCAACGUUGCUCGGAAUUAUUGGGCGUAAAGCGCACGUAGGCGGCCUAGCAAGUCGGAUGUGAAAUCCCUCAGCUUAACUGGGGAACUGCGUCCGAUACUGGAUGGCUUGGAUUUGGGAGAGGGAUGCGGAAUUCCAGGUGUAGCGGUGAAAUGCGUAGAUAUCUGGAGGAACACCGGUGGCGAAGGCGGCAUCCUGGACCAAUAUUGACGCUGAGGAGCGAAAGCCAGGGGA
rnacentral:rRNA from 1 species